AGCUAGACUUCUUCUGUUCAAGGAAAACUAUAUGAUUAUCCAUUGGCACAGUUUGUAUAGACAGCUCCAUCUGCUGGUCACUGGAUAAAGUUAAUUUUCAAAUACCGUAUUUAUAUUCACUACAACCUGAAGAAAUACAAUAGGAUGCUUCUCACAUAUCUUUGAAGAGGUUUAUUGGCUGUGCUGUCAACAAUAAGAAGUCACUUGCCAUAUGUGCUUACAGAGCACUUGAAAUAGCACUAGUAGGAAUUGAGAUGUCCUUUAAAUGUAAAAUUCACAAUGCGAACAGAAGAAUGUAAAAUAUCUCAUAUUUUUAUAUUGAUUGUAUGU